AGAGUUUGAUCAUGGCUCAGAAUCAACGCUGGCGGCGUGCCUAACACAUGCAAGUCGAGCGAGAAAGUGGUAGCAAUACCAUGAGUAAAGCGGCGCACGGGUGAGUAACACGUGACUAACCUACCCUGGAGUGGGGAAUAACUGAGGGAAACCUUAGCUAAUACCGCAUAAUACCCACGGGUCAAAGGAGCAAUUCGCUCUGGGAGGGGGUCGCGGCCGAUUAGUUAGUUGGCGGGGUAACGGCCCACCAAGACGAUGAUCGGUAUCCGGCCUGAGAGGGCGCACGGACACACUGGAACUGAAACACGGUCCAGACUCCUACGGGAGGCAGCAGUGGGGAAUUUUGCGCAAUGGGGGAAACCCUGACGCAGCAACGCCGCGUGGAGGAUGAAGUCCUUCGGGACGUAAACUCCUUUCGAUCGGGACGAUUAUGACGGUACCGGAAGAAGAAGCCCCGGCUAACUUCGUGCCAGCAGCCGCGGUAAUACGAGGGGGGCGAGCGUUGUUCGGAAUUAUUGGGCGUAAAGGGUGCGUAGGCGGUUUGGUAAGUCUUGUGUGAAAUCUCCAGGCUCAACUUGGAGUCUGCACGAGAAACUGCCGGGCUGGAGUGUGGGAGAGGUGAGUGGAAUUUCCGGUGUAGCGGUGAAAUGCGUAGAUAUCGGAAGGAACACCUGUGGCGAAAGCGGCUCACUGGACCAUAACUGACGCUGAUGCACGAAAGCUAGGGGAGCAAACAGGAUUAGAUACCCCAGUAGUCC
rnacentral:rRNA from 1 species